ACUUGUGGACUAAGAUGUGAGCUUGCAGCUGCAGCUCCAACACAGUGCCUGUCAGCCUGUUGUCAUGCUCCCUGCUGUGAAGGUCAGGACUCGGUCUGAAGGUGACCAUUGAAGAAAUGCACAUUGCAAUGAACCCAUGCUCUUCAAAUUCUUGCACAACUUCCAUAGAAACUACUGCGAGAAAUGAGACUCACAAUGGCCUUCUAAAGUGAUGAGGCUCACCUAUGCUUUCAAAGCCUAUGAUCUACUAUCAGAACUAAAAACCACGUGCUUUCCAACCUCAAUUCUGCCAAUGAAGAACAGUGUUGCAGGUUUCCCAGGAAGCAGAGGAGAAAGUAUUUGUCUCAGCAGCUGCUGCAGAAGGAACUGCUGUCUUUACUGUGAAGAGAAGCCAAGGAGAAAGCCUGAUUGUCUUGGCCAGAUUCCAGCACCUGUCUGCUAACCACAACCAUUAGGCCCCUUGGGCGACAGUACAGAAACACAAAUCUGUUGUGUUUAGGACACUAUGUGGGUAGAGCACCAAACACAGAAUUUCAUAGAUCACUCUCAUCUCAUCUCUAAAGUGUGUCUGCCGUA
ensembl:processed_transcript